UGGGGAAUAUUGCACAAUGGGCGCAAGCCUGAUGCAGCCAUGCCGCGUGUGUGAAGAAGGCCUUCGGGUUGUAAAGCACUUUCAGCGAGGAGGAAGGGUAGUGUGUUAAUAGCACAUUGCAUUGACGUUACUCGCAGAAGAAGCACCGGCUAACUCCGUGCCAGCAGCCGCGGUAAUACGGAGGGUGCAAGCGUUAAUCGGAAUUACUGGGCGUAAAGCGCACGCAGGCGGUUUGUUAAGUCAGAUGUGAAAUCCCCGCGCUUAACGUGGAACUGCAUUUGAAACUGGCAAGCUAGAGUCUUGUAGAGGGGGGUAGAAUUCCAGGUGUAGCGGUGAAAUGCGUAGAGAUCUGGAGGAAUACCGGUGGCGAAGGCGGCCCCCUGGACAAAGACUGACGCUCAGGUGCGAAAGCGUGGGGAGCAAAACAGGAUUAGAUACCCUGGUAGUCCACGCUGUAAACGAUGUCGACUUGGAGGUUGUGCCCUUGAGGCGUGGCUUCCGGAGCUAACGCGUUAAGUCGACCGCCUGGGGGAGUACGGCCGCAAGGUUAAAAC
rnacentral:rRNA from 1 species